rfam:Serratia sp. Leaf50 contig_2, whole genome shotgun sequence.
UAAGCCAGAAGAGGCGCGUCGCCCAGGCAAUGUAUCGGAGGAACCGUAUCCUGCGAAGGUGCAUUAUGGGGUGCGACGCCGAGGUCAGACACCCAACGGUUGGGAAAAGAUCGACUACAGGGGCUGAAUCCUCUGGGUUGUCACCGCUAUAGCUCUGUGAGCUAUUGGCAUGGUGGGGCGCUUCUGGGUGU